rnacentral:lncRNA from 1 species
CUCCCUCUCCUCCACCUUACGAGUACAAGUCGCCACCCCCUCCUUCUCCCUCUCCACCACCACCUUACGAGUACAAGUCGCCACCCCCUCCUUCUCCCUCUCCGCCAUCACCAUCUCCUCCACCACCUUACUACUACAAAUCACCACCCCCUCCUUCUCCUUCUCCACCACCACCUUACUACUACAAGUCUCCACCACCUCCAUCACCAUCUCCUCCACCACCAUACUACUAUAAAUCACCUCCUCCACCCUCUCCAUCACCUCCUCCACCAUAUUACUACAAGUCCCCACCACCUCCAUCACCUUCACCCCCACCACCUUACUACUAUAAGUCUCCACCUCCACCUUCACCAUCACCACCUCCACCUUACUACUACAAGUCUCCUCCACCACCUUCACCAUCACCUCCACCACCAUACUACUACUCUUCCCCACCACCACCCAAGAAAUCACCUCCUCCACCAUACUACUACUCCUCUCCUCCACCACCCAAGAAGUCACCUCCACCUCCAUACUACUACAGUUCUCCACCACCACCAGUUAAGUCUCCUCCUCCGCCAUACUAUUACUCCUCACCACCACCACCCAAAAAGUCACCUCCGCCACCAUACUACUACUCCUCACCACCACCACCUAAGAAGUCUCCUCCACCAUACUACUACCACUCCCCUCCACCACCAGUUAAGUCUCCUCCUCCUCCAUACUACUACCACUCCCCUCCACCACCAGUUAAGUCUCCUCCUCCUCCUCCAUACUACUACACUUCCCCUCCACCACCUACUCCUUACUAUCCUCCUCAUCAUCCCUUGAUCGUUAAGGUUGUCGGAAAAGUCUAUUGCUACAGAUGCUACGACUGGAAAUAUCCAAAGAAAUCCCAUGACAAGAAGCACCUUAAAGGUAUACUAUUUUUCUCUGCCACAUUUUCUCUUACAUUAUUCUUGUUCUGUUUAAUAUUUCUUCAUAACUAUAUAUAUUUAUCUCAAGUAUGUGGUUCCUUCUUGCUUUAAAGAUUUAGCUCAAAAUUUGAAAAAUCUUGGCUCUAUUAUAAUUCCCUACAAAAAGAUGCGAAAGAAAAGAAAGUUGAUAAAUGCACUAAAGAUGAUUAUCAAAAAAUGCUUUAAAAACUAUUGAAUAAUUUUUUUUACAACUGAAUAUAUGAUGAAAAGAACANACUACAAAUCACCACCCCCUCCUUCUCCUUCUCCACCACCACCUUACUACUACAAGUCUCCACCACCUCCAUCACCAUCUCCUCCACCACCAUACUACUAUAAAUCACCUCCUCCACCCUCUCCAUCACCUCCUCCACCAUAUUACUACAAGUCCCCACCACCUCCAUCACCUUCACCCCCACCACCUUACUACUAUAAGUCUCCACCUCCACCUUCACCAUCACCACCUCCACCUUACUACUACAAGUCUCCUCCACCACCUUCACCAUCACCUCCACCACCAUACUACUACUCUUCCCCACCACCACCCAAGAAAUCACCUCCUCCACCAUACUACUACUCCUCUCCUCCACCACCCAAGAAGUCACCUCCACCUCCAUACUACUACAGUUCUCCACCACCACCAGUUAAGUCUCCUCCUCCGCCAUACUAUUACUCCUCACCACCACCACCCAAAAAGUCACCUCCGCCACCAUACUACUACUCCUCACCACCACCACCUAAGAAGUCUCCUCCACCAUACUACUACCACUCCCCUCCACCACCAGUUAAGUCUCCUCCUCCUCCAUACUACUACCACUCCCCUCCACCACCAGUUAAGUCUCCUCCUCCUCCUCCAUACUACUACACUUCCCCUCCACCACCUACUCCUUACUAUCCUCCUCAUCAUCCCUUGAUCGUUAAGGUUGUCGGAAAAGUCUAUUGCUACAGAUGCUACGACUGGAAAUAUCCAAAGAAAUCCCAUGACAAGAAGCACCUUAAAGGUAUACUAUUUUUCUCUGCCACAUUUUCUCUUACAUUAUUCUUGUUCUGUUUAAUAUUUCUUCAUAACUAUAUAUAUUUAUCUCAAGUAUGUGGUUCCUUCUUGCUUUAAAGAUUUAGCUCAAAAUUUGAAAAAUCUUGGCUCUAUUAUAAUUCCCUACAAAAAGAUGCGAAAGAAAAGAAAGUUGAUAAAUGCACUAAAGAUGAUUAUCAAAAAAUGCUUUAAAAACUAUUGAAUAAUUUUUUUUACAACUGAAUAUAUGAUGAAAAGAACAUCAUAAGUAAAAGUAAGAAAGCAUCGUCAUCACUUAAUUAUGCCUGCCGUAAAAAAAACAUAUUUGAAAUAUGUAUUCAUUGAUUGCGCAAUUAUUUGUGGUAUUAUGUAGUAUGAUUUUUUUUUUCAUGAUCAAGUAAUUUAGUAUGAUUUUUUUUUUCAUGAUCAAGUAAUUAUUAACUUUAUUGUAAAUCACCAAAAUGGUGAAAAGAACAUAGUGGUGCCAACCAGUCUUCGUUGGCUUACUGAAAAAUCGUAAUUGAAGACAGAUGGAUAAAGUCUUUGACUUUUGAAUUACUUAAUAGAUAAAGAGGGAAAAAAACAUGAAUUAGUGGAUAAUGAGCUUUAGAUCCUGUGAUGGAACACAUAAUAUUUUAUAAGAAAAGGACAAAGUUGGUUAUUGUAGCUAGUGGGCAGAAUAAGCUUAAGAUAUGUCUAUAUUGUUCAAUUAUUAAGUACUAAUUGCAUCAUCAAUUUUCACAUUUGGUAUAGGUGCUGUUGUUGAGGUAACAUGCAAGGUUGGUGACAAGGAAGUCAAGAGCUAUGGCACCACUAAGAUUAAUGGCAAGUUUAGCAUCACUGUUGAAGGAUUUGAUUAUGCCAAAUAUGGAGCAGAUGCAUGCAAGGCUAAACUCCACAAAGCACCAAAGGAUUCUAAAUGUAACAUCCCCACAAAUCUUCAUUGGGGCAUUAAGGGUGCUGACCUCAAAGUAAAGUCAAAGAAUCAUUAUGAAGUUGUGCUCUAUGCUAAACCAUUUGCUUAUGCUCCAAAAACUCCAUAUGAAGAAUGCAUGAAGCCUAAGCCAACUCCAACUCCUUACUACUACAAAUCUCCACCUCCUCCAUCGCCAACAUACGUAUACAAGUCACCACCUCCUCCAACCCCAACAUACGUAUACAAGUCACCACCUCCUCCAACCCCAACAUACGUGUACAAGUCACCACCUCCUCCAUCACCUAAAUACGUGUACAAGUCGCCUCCUCCUCCAUCGCCUAAAUACAUAUACAAAUCUCCACCUCCUCCAUCACCAAAGUACAUGUACAAGUCACCUCCUCCUCCAACCCCAACAUACAUGUACAAGUCACCACCUCCUCCAUCACCUAAGUACGUGUACAAGUCACCACCACCUCCAUCACCUAAGUACGUGUACAAGUCACCACCACCUCCAUCACCUAAGUACGUGUAUAACUCUCCACCACCUCCAUCACCUAAGUACGUGUACAAGUCACCACCACCUCCAUCACCUAAGUACGUGUACAAGUCACCACCUCCUCCAUCACCUAAGUACGUGUACAAGUCACCACCUCCUCCACCAUACUAUUACAAGUCUCCUCCACCACCAUCGCCAUCUCCUCCUCCACCAUACUACUACAAGUCUCCUCCACCACCAUCGCCAACACCCCCGCCUCCAUACUACUACAAGUCCCCUCCACCACCAUCGCCAUCACCCCCGCCUCCAUAUUACUAUAAGUCACCACCACCACCAUCGCCCUCUCCUCCUCCUCCAUACUACUACAAGUCCCCUCCCCCACCAUCACCGUCACCUCCUCCACCAUACUACUACAAGUCCCCACCACCACCAUCCCCAUCACCUCCUCCACCAUACUACUACAAGUCCCCCCCACCACCAUCCCCAUCACCUCCACCACCAUACUACUACAAGUCCCCCCCACCACCAUCUCCAUCUCCUCCUCCACCAUACUACUACAAGUCCCCACCACCACCAUCCCCAUCUCCCCCACCUCCAUACUAUUACAAGUCUCCUCCACCGCCAUCACCAUCACCCCCACCUCCCUACUACUACCACUCUCCACCUCCACCGGUGAAGUCUCCUCCUCCACCAUACUACUACAAAUCACCACCACCACCAUCACCAUCACCCCCACCUCCCUACUACUANNNNNNNNNNNNNNNNNNNNNNNNNNNNNNNNNNNNNNNNNNNNNNNNNNNNNNNNNNNNNNNNNNNNNNNNNNNNNNNNNNNNNNNNNNNNNNNNNNNNNNNNNNNNNNNNNNNNNNNNNNNNNNNNNNNNNNNNNNNNNNNNNNNNNNNNNNNNNNNNNNNNNNNNNNNNNNNNNNNNNNNNNNNNNNNNNNNNNNNNNNNNNNNNNNNNNNNNNNNNNNNNNNNNNNNNNNNNNNNNNNNNNNNNNNNNNNNNNNNNNNNNNNNNNNNNNNNNNNNNNNNNNNNNNNNNNNNNNNNNNNNNUGUACAAGUCACCACCUCCUCCAUCACCUAAGUACGUGUACAAGUCACCACCACCUCCAUCACCUAAGUACGUGUACAAGUCACCACCACCUCCAUCACCUAAGUACGUGUAUAACUCUCCACCACCUCCAUCACCUAAGUACGUGUACAAGUCACCACCACCUCCAUCACCUAAGUACGUGUACAAGUCACCACCUCCUCCAUCACCUAAGUACGUGUACAAGUCACCACCUCCUCCACCAUACUAUUACAAGUCUCCUCCACCACCAUCGCCAUCUCCUCCUCCACCAUACUACUACAAGUCUCCUCCACCACCAUCGCCAACACCCCCGCCUCCAUACUACUACAAGUCCCCUCCACCACCAUCGCCAUCACCCCCGCCUCCAUAUUACUAUAAGUCACCACCACCACCAUCGCCCUCUCCUCCUCCUCCAUACUACUACAAGUCCCCUCCCCCACCAUCACCGUCACCUCCUCCACCAUACUACUACAAGUCCCCACCACCACCAUCCCCAUCACCUCCUCCACCAUACUACUACAAGUCCCCCCCACCACCAUCCCCAUCACCUCCACCACCAUACUACUACAAGUCCCCCCCACCACCAUCUCCAUCUCCUCCUCCACCAUACUACUACAAGUCCCCACCACCACCAUCCCCAUCUCCCCCACCUCCAUACUAUUACAAGUCUCCUCCACCGCCAUCACCAUCACCCCCACCUCCCUACUACUACCACUCUCCACCUCCACCGGUGAAGUCUCCUCCUCCACCAUACUACUACAAAUCACCACCACCACCAUCACCAUCACCCCCACCUCCCUACUACUACCACUCUCCACCACCACCAUCACCAUCUCCUCCUCCACCAUACUACUACAAAUCACCAGCACCCCCAUCACCAUCACCACCACCUCCCUACUACUAUCGCUCUCCACCACCGCCAUCACCAUCUCCCCCACCUCCUUACUACUACCACUCUCCACCUCCACCGGUGAAGUCUCCUCCUCGACCAUACUACUACAAAUCACCACCACCGCCUCCACCAUCACCCCCACCUCCCUACUACUACCACUCUCCACCUCCACCGGUGAAGUCUCCUCCUCGACCAUACUACUACAAAUCACCACCACCGCCUCCACCAUCACCCCCACCUCCCUACUACUACCACUCUCCACCUCCACCGGUGAAGUCUCCUCCUCGACCAUACUACUACAAAUCACCACCACCGCCUCCACCAUCACCCCCACCUCCCUACUACUACCACUCUCCACCUCCACCGGUGAAGUCUCCUCCUCGACCAUACUACUACAAAUCACCACCACCGCCUCCACCAUCACCCCCACCUCCCUACUACUACCACUCUCCACCUCCACCGGUGAAGUCUCCUCCUCGACCAUACUACUACAAAUCACCACCACCGCCUCCACCAUCACCCCCACCUCCCUACUACUACCACUCUCCACCUCCACCGGUGAAGUCUCCUCCUCGACCAUACUACUACAAAUCACCACCACCGCCUCCACCAUCACCCCCACCUCCCUACUACUACCACUCUCCACCUCCACCGGUGAAGUCUCCUCCUCGACCAUACUACUACAAAUCACCACCACCGCCUCCACCAUCACCCCCACCUCCCUACUACUACCACUCUCCACCUCCACCGGUGAAGUCUCCUCCUCGACCAUACUACUACAAAUCACCACCACCGCCUCCACCAUCACCCCCACCUCCCUACUACUACCACUCUCCACCACCACCAUCACCAUCUCCUCCUCCACCAUACUACUACAAAUCACCACCACCGCCUUCACCAUCACCCCCACCUCCCUACUACUACCACUCUCCACCUCCACCGGUGAAAUCUCCUCCUCCACCAUACUACUACAAAUCACCACCACCACCAUCACCAUCACCCCCACCUCCCUACUACUAUCACUCUCCACCACCGCCAUCACCAUCUCCCCCACCUCCUUACUACUAC